UACGUAGGGUGCAAGCGUUGUCCGGAAUUAUUGGGCGUAAAGAGCUCGUAGGCGGUCUGUCGCGUCGGCUGUGAAAUCCCGAGGCUCAACCUCGGGUCUGCAGUCGAUACGGGCAAACUAGAGUAUUGCAGGGGAGACUGGAAUUCCUGGUGUAGCGGUGAAAUGCGCAGAUAUCAGGAGGAACACCGGUGGCGAAGGCGGGUCUCUGGGCCGAUACUGACGCUGAGGAGCGAAAGCGUGGGGGAGCGAACAGG
rnacentral:rRNA from 1 species